UCUGCUCUUCCCGGUCAUGGAGGCGCCAGCCGCCCGCUUGUUUCUGCUCCUGUUGCUUGGGACUUGGGCCCCGGCGCCAGGCAGCGCCUCCUCCGAGGCACCGCCGCUGAUCAAUGAGGACGUGAAGCGCACAGUGGACCUAAGCAGCCACCUGGCUAAGGUGACGGCCGAGGUGGUCCUGGCGCACCUGGGCGGCGGCUCCACGUCCCGAGCUACCUCUUUCCUGCUGGCUUUGGAGCCUGAGCUCGAGGCCCGGCUGGCGCACCUGGGCGUGCAGGUAAAGGGAGAAGAUGAGGAAGAGAACAAUUUGGAAGUACGUGAAACCAAAAUUAAGGGUAAAAGACAGGGUCUGUUGCCCAGGCUGCAUUACUAUGGUGCCAUGUUGACUCACUGCAACCUCCACCUCCAGGGCUCAAACCGUCCUUCUCCCUCAGCCUCCCAAAUAGGUGGGACUAGAGAUCCAGCUAGAGAAGAGCUACACGAAAAAAAAAAAAGACCUGCUCCAUGUACAUCAGUUUAGACAGUUCUGUGUUGUCUAGCCUUUUAU
rnacentral:sRNA from 1 species